GUCCACGCCGUAAACGAUGUCUACUAGCCGUUGGGGAACUUGAUUCUUUAGUGGCGCAGCUAACGCACUAAGUAGACCGCCUGGGGAGUACGGUCGCAAGAUUAAAACUCAAAUGAAUUGACGGGGGCCCGCACAAGCGGUGGAGCAUGUGGUUUAAUUCGAUGCAACGCGAAGAACCUUACCAUCCCUUGACAUCCAGAGAAUUUUCUAGAGAUAGAUUAGUGCCUUCGGGAACUCUGAGACAGGUGCUGCAUGGCU
rnacentral:rRNA from 1 species